AUUGAACGCUGGCGGCAUGCUUUACACAUGCAAGUCGGACGGCAGCGGGGUAGUGCUUGCACUACUGCCGGCGAGUGGCGAACGGGUGAGUAAUAUAUUGGAACGUACCGAGUAAUGGGGGAUAACCAAUCGAAAGAUUGGCUAAUACCGCAUACGCUCUGAGGAGGAAAGCAGGGGACCUUCGGGCCUUGCGUUAUUCGAGCGGCCAAUAUCUGAUUAGCUAGUUGGUGGGGUAAGGGCCUACCAAGGCGACGAUCAGUAGCGGGUCUGAGAGGAUGAUCCGCCACACUGGGACUGAGACACGGCCCAGACUCCUACGGGAGGCAGCAGUGGGGAAUUUUGGACAAUGAGCGCAAGCCUGAUCCAGCCAUGCCGCGUGUCUGAAGAAGGCCUUCGGGUUGUAAAGGACUUUUGUUAGGGAAGAAAAAGGAGCGGUUAAUACCCGUUUCUGCUGACGGUACCUAAAGAAUAAGCACCGGCUAACUACGUG
rnacentral:rRNA from 1 species